GAUGAACGCUGGCGGCGUGCCUAAUACAUGCAAGUCGAGCGAACGGACGAGAAGCUUGCUUCUCUGAUGUUAGAGGCGGACGGGUGAGUAACACGUGGAUAACCUACCUAUAAGACUGGGAUAACUUCGGGAAACCGUAGCUAAUACCGGAUAAUAUUUUGAACCGCAUGGUUCAAAAGUGAAAGACGGUCUUGCUGUCACUUAUAGAUGGAUCCGCGCUGCAUUAGCUAGUUGGUAAGGUAACGGCUUACCAAGGCAACGAUGCAUAGCCGACCUGAGAGGGUGAUCGGCCACACUGGAACUGAGACACGGUCCAGACUCCUACGGGAGGCAGCAGUAGGGAAUCUUCCGCAAUGGGCGAAAGCCUGACGGAGCAACGCCGCGUGAGUGAUGAAGGUCUUCGGAUCGUAAAACUCUGUUAUUAGGGAAGAACAUAUGUGUAAGUAACUGUGCACAUCUUGACGGUACCUAAUCAGAAAGCCACGGCUAACUACGUG
rnacentral:rRNA from 1 species